ACGGGGUUUGUCCCAUCGCCGCCGCCCCUCCACCGAAUCCCUCUCGGAAUCCUCUCAUUCCCCCUGCACCAACCAUCAGCCACACCUAGAUCCAAUCCAACCAGCACACAGCCUCUCACUCCUCUCGUUCCCGAGAGAGAGGAGUUCCUCAGCCCCGAUCCAGCGCCUGAUCCCCGCCUCCUCGCGCCUCCCUGCAUCGCCGGCAGCAACAGCUACCGCUGAACCAGCAGCAAACGCCGUCGCCCUUCCGGGAGCCGACACCCAUGGAGCUUGCCGCUGCUUCGUCCAAGCCGCGUCCUCCAGCCGGAGCUCGCCAGCCGCAUCGAUCCGCCGUGAGCAGCAGCACCAGCAGAUGAGCUCCGCUCAUGUUCUCUCCUUCCUCCACCUCCUUAUGCCUCUCCCGUUUUUCUCUCCUCACACUACGGUCUGUGUCUCCCUUCUAAGCAGGAGCAGCCAGGGACGUCACUCCUCAAGCAUCAGCCGCCGCUGACCUCCUCCGUCACGUCUCAGCGCCGGACCUCCGCUUGGCCUUGUUCGUCCGCUGCCUCCUGAAGGCCAUGGAGCCUUGCAGCAGACGCCCGCCGUUGCCGCAGCUGCCCCGUCCACCUCGCCCUGCCGGAUUCCGACCGGCCGGAACUCCCUGCGCCUCAAGACCGACCCUGCGUCGUCCGCCAAGUGCCCCUGCAUCGCGCCAGACGCCGCCCUCCGCUGCUGCGUUGCCGCCGUCCAGCCAUGUCGCCGUCCCCCUGCGUCCUCUGCUGCGCGAAGGAGCGAGGAGAAUGCGCCCGUUGACCGCGCCCGUCCCUGCCUCGAUCCAGUGGGAUCGGCAGGGGCGAUCCAUCCAGCGCCCGAGUGGGCCGGCCUGCCAGCGCCCGAGGCCCAGAUGCGCCCCUGCCGGCCUCCCUCCUCCACCGAAUGGGCGGAGGCCCAUGGUGAGGCCAGCUGCGCGCCCUCCUUUUUUUCUUUUUCUUUUCCAUUGGGCCCAGUCAGUUACAGCCCAUGUUGUUUUUUUCCUGAACAAAUUUGUCUAAUAUCCAGUGUAAAACAGAUUUGCAGAAAAAACCCUAAGCUCCAUGCAUAUCAUAACUCACCAACCAUGCAUCGGAUUGAAAAACUUAAUAUAUGAAACUUGCUUAGAAUUUUGUGUAGAUUAAUAAUUUGCCACUUUCAUCCAUGUUUAAAAUGUAUAAAUUGCUGUUUGUGUAGAUUUACUCUAUUGCCAUGCUAAAAUGGUUUAUUUCAUAACUAAAUAACCGUAGCUCCAAAUUUAAUAAACUUUAUAUGUAAAUGGGGUGGGAAAAUGCCUUGUUUAACAUGGUGACAUUGCUUUGCAUGUUUAACAACUCUAAAAUAUGGUUUAGGACAGAACAACACCAAAUCUAAAAUAUGCAUAUGGGGAUUUAUCGGAAUUGUUGUUCGUUGUUUCCGGCCUCAUUUAAACUUGCCUAGAUAGGUAGUUUUGUUUUGCUUCACCCCUUGCCAUGCUAAACAACAUUGAAUAUUGUUGAGUACAUAAGCGAGAUCGAACUAAAUAACUUGUUGUGGUGUUUUGUCAAUAUGCAAUGAGUUGCAUAUUGAUCUCCACUUAAUUUGUAGAAUUGCUUGUGCAUUUUGCCAUGCCAUGCCUCAUUAAACCGGACAUGCAUCAUACUUCCUCCGUUCCUAAAUAUAAGUCUUUGGAGAGAUCCCACUAUGGACCACAUACGGAGCAAAAUGAGUGAAUCUACACUCUAAAAUGCAUCUACAUACAUCCGUAUGUGUUCCAUAGUGAAAUCUCUACAAAGACUUAUAUUUAGGAACGGAGGGAGUACUUGUUUGCGCAUCGUACCAUGCUUAUGUGAUGAUUGUUUACUAUGUUGUUUGCUUUCUUUUCGGUGUACUUCUUCUCGGUAAUCUGGUAACGUUGCGUUUGUGAGGAAACGUUGGCUACGUCCGUUUGUCUUCUUCAUGGACUCGUUCUUCUUCCUUGCGGGAUCUCAGGCAAGAUGACCAUACCCUCUAAAUCACUUCUAUCUUUGCUUGCUAGAUGCUCGCUCUUUUGCUAUGCCUAUGCUACGAUGCCUACCACUUGCUUAUCAUGCCUCCUAUAUUGCCAUGUCAAGCCUCUAACCCACCUUGUCCUAGCAAACCGUUGUUUGGCUAUGUUACCACUUUGCUCAGCCCCUCUUAUAGCGUUGUUAGUUGCAGGUGAAGAUUGGAGUUUGUUCCUUGUGGGAACAUGGAUAUUUGUUGGGAUAUCACAAUAUCUCUUAUUUUAUUAAUGCAUCUAUACACUUGGUAAAGGGUGGAAGGCUCGGCCUUAUGCCUGGUGUUUUGUUCCACUCUUGCCGCCCUAGUUUCCGUCAUACCGGUGUUAUGUUCCUUGAUUUUGUGUUCCUUACACGGUUGGAUUAUAAUGGGAAUCCCUUGACAGUUUGCUUUGAAUAAAAUUCCUCCAGCAAGGCCCAACCUUGGUUUUACCAUUCGCCACCUAGCCUUUUUCCCUUAGGAGUCGCGCAUCCCGAGGGUCAUCUUUAUUUUAACCCCCCGGGCCAGUGCUUGUCUAAGUGUUGGUCCGAACUAGAGUCCUUUGCAGCACCACCUCGGGGAAACUUGAGGGCUGGUUUUAGUUGUACGGAGCGCUCAUCCGAUGUUGCCCUGAGAACGAGAUAUGUGCAGCUCCUAUCAGGAUGUCGGCGCAUCGGGCGGUCUUGCUGGACUUGUUUUACCAUUGUCGAGGAUGUCUUGUAACCGGGAUGCCGAGUCUGAUCGGAUUGUCUUGGGAGAAGGAAUAUCCUUCGUUGACCGUGAGAGCUUGUGAUGGGCUAAGUUGGGACACCCCUGUAGGGAUAUGAUCUUUCGAAAGCCGUGCCCACGGUUAUGGGAAGAUGGGAAUUUGUUAAUGUACGAUUGUAGAGAACUUGACACUUAACUUAAUUAAAAUGCACCAACCGCGUGUGUAACCGUGACGGUCUCUUUCCGACGGAGUUCGGGAAGUGAACACGGUGUUGGAGUUAUGUUUGACGUAGGUUGUUCUAGGAUCACUUCUUGAUCAUAGUUUCUCGACCAUGCUUUGCCUUCUCUUCUCGCUCUCAUUUGCGUAUGUUAGCCACCAUAUAUGCUAGUGCUUGCUGCAGCUCCACCUCACAUACCUUUUACCCUUCCUAUAAGCUUAAAUGUCUUGAUCGCGAGGGUGUGAGAUUGCUGAGUCCCCGUGACUCACAGAUACUUCCAAACUAGUUUGCAGGUGCCGAUGAUACCGUGCAGGUGACGCAACCGAGCUCAAGGAGGAGCCAGUUGAAGAUUGUGUUCGUUAUGUUGUUCUGUUUCUAGUUGAUCAGUAGUGGAGCCCAGUCGGGACGAUCGGGGAUCUGUGUAGCUUUUGGGGUAGUCUUCUUUUAUUUUGGUUCCGUAGUCAAACCUUGAGUGUAUUUGGAUGAAUGUAAUGCUUUAUUCAUGUAUCAUGUGAAGUGGAGAUUGUAAGCCAACUAUGUAUCUCUUUCCCUUAUGUAUUAUAUGGGUU
rnacentral:rRNA from 1 species